rnacentral:rRNA from 1 species
CCUAACACAUGCAAGUCGAACGGUAACAGGAAGAAGCUUGCUUCUUUGCUGACGAGUGGCGGACGGGUGAGUAAUGUCUGGGAAACUGCCUGAUGGAGGGGGAUAACUACUGGAAACGGUAGCUAAUACCGCAUAACGUCGCAAGACCAAAGAGGGGGACCUUCGGGCCUCUUGCCAUCGGAUGUGCCCAGAUGGGAUUAGCUAGUAGGUGGGGUAACGGCUCACCUAGGCGACGAUCCCUAGCUGGUCUGAGAGGAUGACCAGCCACACUGGAACUGAGACACGGUCCAGACUCCUACGGGAGGCAGCAGUGGGGAAUAUUGCACAAUGGGCGCAAGCCUGAUGCAGCCAUGCCGCGUGUAUGAAGAAGGCCUUCGGGUUGUAAGA